UGGGCACAUUGCAUGGCAGCAGCCUCACAUCAGGUGUGUGAGUGUGUCUGUGUGAAUGGGUGAAUGUGAAGCAUAACUGUAAAUCAGUUUGAGCUUCUGAUGAAGAUGGAAGAGAGUUAUAUAAAUGUAUGUGGUUUACCAUUUUC